rnacentral:rRNA from 1 species
UACGAAGGGGGCUAGCGUUGCUCGGAAUCACUGGGCGUAAAGCGCACGUAGGCGGGUUGUUAAGUCAGGUGUGAAAUCCUGGAGCUCAACUCCAGAACUGCCUUUGAUACUGGCGAUCUCGAGUCCGGGAGAGGUGAGCGGAACUGCGAGUGUAGAGGUGAAAUUCGUAGAUAUUCGCAAGAACACCAGUGGCGAAGGCGGCCCACUGGCCCGGUACUGACGCUGAGGUGCGAAAGCGUGGGGAGCAAACAGG